rnacentral:rRNA from 1 species
UACAGAGGGUGCGAGCGUUUGUUCGGAAUUAUUGGGCGUAAAGCGCUUGUAGGCGGCCUGUCAAGUCGCGUGUGAAAUCCCCUGGCUUAACCAGGGAAGUGCGCGCGAAACUGAAGGGCUUGAGUGCCGGAGAGGGUCGCGGAAUUCCCGGUGUAGAGGUGAAAUUCGUAGAUAUCGGGAGGAACACCAGUGGCGAAGGCGGCGACCUGGACGGACACUGACGCUGAGACGCGAAAGCGUGGGGAGCAAACAGG